rnacentral:rRNA from 1 species
GCCAUGCAUGUCUAAGUACAUCUUUUUUUACUGGAGAAACCGCGAAUGGCUCAUUAAAUCAGUUAUUGUUUAUUUGAUGGUAACAGGUUACAUGGAUAACCGUGGCAAUUCUAGGGCUAAUACAUGCUAAAAAAGUUGUUCGCCUUCGGGUGGGCACACUUGCUCUUAUUAGACCAAACCAACGUGGUUUCGGCCACUCCUUUGGUGACUCUGGAUAAUUCCGCUGAUCGCAGGGCCUCCGCGCCGGCGAUGCAUCAUUCAAAUAUCUGCCUUAUCAACUUUCGAUGGUAAGAUAGAGGCUUACCAUGGUUGUAACGGGUAACGGGGAAUUAGGGUUCGAUUCCGGAGAGGGAGCCUGAGAAACGGCUACCACAUCCAAGGAAGGCAGCAGGCGCGCAAAUUACCCACUCCCGGCACGGGGAGGUAGUGACGAAAAAUAACAAUACGGGACUCUWAUGAGGCCCCGUAAUUGGAAUGAGUACACUUUAAACCCUUUAACGAGUAUCUAUUGGAGGGCAAGUCUGGUGCCAGCAGCCGCGGUAAUUCCAGCUCCAAUAGCGUAUAUUAAAGUUGUUGCAGUUAAAAAGCUCGUAGUUGGAUUUUGGGCCCCCGCCGAGCGGUUCCGCGCAAGCGGUCUACUGCCCGGCGGAGCCUUGUUUUCACAUUAGUGUCGUGCGUCCUUCGCUGGGCGUCGGCAUCGGUGUGGACGUUUACUUUGAAGAAAUUAGAGUGUUCAAAGCAAGCAAACGCUUGAAUAAUCGUGCAUGGAAUAAUAGAAUAUGACCGUCGUCUUUAUUUUGUUGGUUUGAGAGAUCGGUGGUAAUGAUUAAGAGGGACGGACGGGGGCAUCCGUAUUGCAUCGUUAGAGGUGAAAUUCUUGGAUCGAUGCAAGACGCCCUACAGCGAAAGCAUUUGCCAAGAACGUUUUCAUUAAUCAAGAACG